GACGAACCGUGCGAACGUUAUUCGGAAUCACUGGGCUUAAAGCGUGCGCAGGCGGUUCGUUGUGUCGGCGGUGAAAGCCCCGGGCUUAACCUGGGAAUGGCCGUUGAAACUGGCGAACUGGAGUGUGGCAGAGGGGGGUGGAAUUCCGCGUGUAGCAGUGAAAUGCGUAGAGAUGCGGAGGAACACCGAUGGCGAAGGCAGCCCCCUGGGCUAACACUGACGCUCAGGCACGAAAGCGUGGGGAGCAAACAGG
rnacentral:rRNA from 1 species